GCUUGCACUGAAUGAGAUUUUAACACGAAGUGAGUGGCGGACGGGUGAGUAACACGUGGGUAACCUGCCCAGAAGCAGGGGAUAACACCUGGAAACAGAUGCUAAUACCGUAUAACAGAGAAAACCGCCUGGUUUUCUUUUAAAAGAUGGCUCUGCUAUCACUUCUGGAUGGGCCCGCGGCGCAUUAGCUAGUUGGUGAGGUAACGGCUCACCAAGGCGAUGAUGCGUAGCCGACCUGAGAGGGUAAUCGGCCACAUUGGGACUGAGACACGGCCCAGACUCCUACGGGAGGCAGCAGUAGGGAAUCUUCCACAAUGGACGCAAGUCUGAUGGAGCAACGCCGCGUGAGUGAAGAAGGGUUUCGGCUCGUAAAGCUCUGUUGUUAAAGAAGAACGUGGGUGAGAGUAACUGUUCACCCAGUGACGGUAUUUAACCAGAAAGCCACGGCUAACUACGUGCCAGCAGCCGCGGUAAUACGUAGGUGGCAAGCGUUAUCCGGAUUUAUUGGGCGUAAAGCGAGCGCAGGCGGUCUUUUAAGUCUAAUGUGAAAGCCUUCGGCUCAACCGAAGAAGUGCAUUGGAAACUGGGAGACUUGAGUGCAGAAGAGGACAGUGGAACUCCAUGUGUAGCGGUGAAAUGCGUAGAUAUAUGGAAGAACACCAGUGGCGAAGGCGGCUGUC
rnacentral:rRNA from 1 species